GACGAACGCUGGCGGCGCGCCUAACACAUGCAAGUCGAACGAGCGAGAGAGAGCUUUCUUUCUCGAGCGAGUGGCGAACGGGUGAGUAACGCGUGAGGAACCUGCCUCAAAGAGGGGGACAACAGUUGGAAACGACUGCUAAUACCGCAUAAGCCCACGGCUCGGCAUCGAGCCGGUGGAAAAGGAGCAAUCCGCUUUGAGAUGGCCUCGCGUCCGAUUAGCUAGUUGGUGGGGUAACGGCCCACCAAGGCGACGAUCGGUAGCCGGACUGAGAGUUUGAACGGCCACAUUGGGACUGAGACACGGCCCAGACUCCUACGGGAGGCAGCAGUGGGGAAUAUUGCAAAAUGGGGGAAACCAUGAUGCAGCGACGACGCGUGGAGGAAGAAGGUAUUCGGAUUGUAAACUCCUGUUGUUGGGGAAGAUAAUGACGGUACCCAACAAGGAAGUGACGGCUAACUACGUG
rnacentral:rRNA from 1 species